rnacentral:rRNA from 1 species
CUCGUAGGUGGUUUGUCACGUUGUUCGUGAAAACUCACAGCUUAACUGUGGGCGUGCGGGCGAUACGGGCAGACUGGAGUACUGCAGGGGAGACUGGAAUUCCUGGUGUAGCGGUGGAAUGCGCAGAUAUCAGGAGGAACACCGGUGGCGAAGGCGGGUCUCUGGGCAGUAACUGACGCUGAGGAGCGAAAGCGUGGGGGCGAACA